AAAAUAAUCCUACCCUUUGUGAAUUUUGUUUGUUUGAAUAAUUUUUUUUUUUAAAAAAUUAUUGGAGUCUUUCCCUUUAGAGUUUGCUUUUGAGUUUGUAAAAGAAUUCGAAAACAUCUAAAGGGGAUGGUCAAUAAUUUUUUUUGAAAAAAGACAUUUUUUAAAAUUAAACUUUUUGUAUUCACUUGUCUAAAAAUUAUUUUAUAAUAUAAAAACAACUUUUGACAAUGGAUCUCUUGGUUCUCGCAACGAUGAAGAACGCAGCAAAAUGCGAUAAGUAGUGUGAAUUGCAGAAUACGUGAAUCAUCGAAUCUUUGAACGCAUAUUGCACUUUUUUAGUUUACUAAAAAAGUAUGUCUGUUUGAGUAUCAGUAAAAUAUUCUCAUAAAAAUCAUUGUGUAUUUUAUGGUUAUGAGUGUUUUACAACGAUACAAGUUGUUUCACUUUAAAUUUUUUUUUAAUAUUGAAAUUUUUCUAAUUUUAAUAAUUAAAAUUGGAUAAAAUUUUCCCGUCAAAAGGAAUAACCUAAACAAUUUUAAACGAUUAAUUUUAGCAAAAUUUUCGUAAAAAAGGAAAAUUUUUAUUAAAAUAACUUGAUCUCAAAUCAGAUAAGAGUACCCGCUGAACUUAAGCAUAUCGAUAAGCGGAGGAAAAGAAACUAACAAGGAUUCCCUUAGUAACGGCGAGUGAAGCGGGAAGAGCUCAAAUUUGAAAUCUUCAAGGUUUUACCUUGACGAAUUGUAGUUUAAAGAAGUGUUUUCUGCUGAAGUUUUGGUAAAAGUUCUUUGGAAUAGGACAUCAUAGAGGGUGAGAAUCCCGUAUUUGACCAUUAUUUUCAGCUUUGUGAUACACUUUCAAAGAGUCGGAUUGUUUGGGAAUGCAGUCCAAAAUGGGUGGUAAAUUUCAUCUAAAGCUAAAUAUUGGCGAGAGACCGAUAGCGAACAAGUACCGUGAGGGAAAGAUGAAAAGAACUUUGAAAAGAGAGUUAAACAGUACGUGAAAUUGUCAAAAGGGAAGCGUUUGACACCAGUGUUGUUUUCUCGAAAAUCAAUUAAAAAUGGCUCGAUUUUGUAUUGCUGAGACCUUAAAAGCUCACUGUACAUUUUUCGUGUCUUUUUUAAUGCACUUUUCGUUUAACAAGUCAACAUCAGUUUCUUUUGUUGUAAAAGGGUCAUUGGAAGGUGGCUUUCUUUCGGAGAAAGUGUUUAUAGCCUUUGGCCUCUGCAAUCGAAGAGACUGAGGUCUGCAGCGUAGACUCUUCGGGGUUAGAUACAUUUGUGCUAAGUUAUAGCUUUUUAUAGACAACUUGUUGACUAUAAUUAGUCUUGUAGCUUACUCGCUUAUGCUAUUUUACCUACGCUUAGGAUG
rnacentral:misc_RNA from 1 species